AUGUUGUUUAGAGGCAAUGCUAAUACAUUCCAACUUAUUACUCUAUUGGUCUGAGAGGUAAUUUUCCAUGAAAUUAAGCUCUUUCAAAAUCUAUAAAAUACUUUAUUUUUUUUUAAAAAAAAUCUCCUAAUCAUUAGCACCAUUGACACCCUUUAUACAUACAGGAGCAGGUGAACAUUUAGAGGGCUGUAGCUGGUUUCAAGUACAUCCCUCCUUUCUGCAGGCUAGACCCUCCCUGAGCUUGGCUGCUCUCCAGUGUGCUUGGUAGAGCAUGAAGCACCAUCCAAGCUCUGGCUUGAGCACUGCUGCCUACAAUGUCCUUAAACAUUCAACCUUUGACUGGUUGGACUGAUCUGAAACAUGCAAGGCCAAAUUAAGAGUCAGCACCUUGCCACCAAAAUCUCUCAGAUAUUAAAGCACAUUCAUCUCUGAGGAGCAGUUGUCUUGGAUCAGGUGGAGAUUGGCACAAGGGAAUUGCAGACUGGCUUCCUGACUGAGUUUUGCUGGCCAUGCAGAGUGCCUUCAAACAGUCCCUGCUCUGUAAAGCCAUCAUGUAGGAUCGCAGGGUAACUCAGGUUGGAAACAGCAUCAGCAUGUCUCUAGUCCAACCUUCUGCUCAAAGAAUGUUCAGCUAUGAGGUUGGGGUAGGUUGGUAACAUCUUUAUCCAAUUGUACUCCCAAAAAUUCCAAGGAUGGAGACAGCUCUGUCUCUCAGGACAUCUCAUAGCUUGAUUGUCUUCAUGGUAAAAUAUUUCUUCUUUCAAAUAAUGUCAGCUGUCUCCUGUCAUCCUGCAGUGGCUCUUACUGCUGUAAAGUCUCUGGAUCUCCGAUUUUGUCUUAUCAAUAUCAGCCUCUUAGAUCCUUUUGUGGUCAAGCUGGAGUGUUCACUGAAGUGCAGCAGCCAGGAGCCUGCUGACCUGCCCAGAGUCAGAAAGGACACUGCAGGUUCUGCAAGAGUCCCUGCAGAGGUGCCUGGCUGACACUGCAGGUUCUGCAAGAGUCCCUGCAGAGGUGCCUGGCUGGGUCUGUCUGAGUCAGGGAGAAGCAGGAGGUGGACAGAGACUGGGAUGACCUGGCUCAUCCGCCUUGCUUUUGAGGGUGGCCCUUCGCUGAUCUCAGCUGUGCAGUCCUGGAGCUCCUCUCUUGCUCAUCCUGACCCAGGCUGAUGUCCAGGAAGUCACUGUGGAGUGCAGAGAACAGUAUGUAACAUCUCACCAAAAAAUAAAACACAGAAAACUCCUGCUUUCCUAAAAGCA
rnacentral:lncRNA from 1 species